rnacentral:rRNA from 1 species
GAUGAACGCUGGCGGCGUGCCUAAUACAUGCAAGUCGAGCGAACAGACGAGGAGCUUGCUCCUCUGACGUUAGCGGCGGACGGGUGAGUAACACGUGGAUAACCUACCUAUAAGACUGGGAUAACUUUGGGAAACCGGAGCUAAUACCGGAUAAUAUAUUGAACCGCAUGGUUCAAUAGUGAAAGACGGUUUUGCUGUCACUUAUAGAUGGAUCCGCGCCGCAUUAGCUAGUUGGUAAGGUAACGGCUUACCAAGGCGACGAUGCGUAGCCGACCUGAGAGGGUGAUCGGCCACACUGGAACUGAGACACGGUCCAGACUCCUACGGGAGGCAGCAGUAGGGAAUCUUCCGCAAUGGGCGAAAGCCUGACGGAGCAACGCCGCGUGAGUGAUGAAGGUCUUCGGAUCGUAAAACUCUGUUAUUAGGGAAGAACAAAUGUGUAAGUAACUAUGCACGUCUUGACGGUACCUAAUCAGAAGGCCACGGCUAACUACGUG